UCCCAAACCCCAAUUUUGGGGGUUCCCAUCUUAUUUUGGGGGGGGUCCCCACAUUUUCCCCCCAUUUUUGGGGGGGUUUCAACACCGAGUCCGCAAGGGGGGGGUCCCGCACCCCAAAUUUUUUUUUUGCGAGGGGGGUCAGCUCCAAGUCCGUGGUUUUUUUUUGGGGGGUCCUACCCCCAUUUUUGGGGGGCUCCUCUUCAUCUCCGCAGGUCAGGGGGGGGUCCCGCACCCCAAAUUUUUUUUGGGGGGCAGCAACAGGUCCAAAGUUCAGGGGGGUCUCGCACCCCAAAUUAUUUUUUUGGGGGGGGGUCCAGCUCCAGGUCCGUGGUUUUGUGGGGGUCCAACCCCCAUUUUUGGGGGGUCCCCCCCAUUUUUGGGGGUCUUCAUCUUCGCCAAGUCCAAAGUUCGAGAUUUGGGGGGGGGUCCCCCCAUUUUUGGGGUUUUCCAUCUCAUCCAACACCGAUUUAGGGUUGGGGGGGGUCCCCAAAUUUUUUUGGGGUUUCCUUCAGGUCCGCAGAUCCGGGGGGGGGUCCCUUAAAUUAUUUUUGGGGUUCCUCGAAAUUUUUUGGGGGGGGUUCCACCUCAUUUUUUAGGGUUUCUCCAUAAUUUUUGGGGGGUUUUUCCCAUUUUUGGGGUUUUUUUCCCCGUUGUUUUAGGGUUUCCUUCACAUUUUUGGGGGGAUUUUUCUCCACAUUUUUUGGGGUUUCCUUCACAUUUUUUGGGGUUUUCCCCCCCUUUUAUUUUUUUAGGGUUUCCUUCACAUUUUUGGGGGGAUUUUUCUCCCAUUUUUUUGGGGUUUCCCCCCAUUUUUUAGGGUUUCCCCUCCAUUUUUGGGGUUUCCUCCACAAUUUUUGGGGCAUUUCCCUCAACAAUUUUGGGGGAUUUUCAUUCACAUUUUUUGGGGUUCCCCUCAUAUUUUUUAAAUUUCGUCCAUAAUUUUCCUACCUGUUUUUCCCAUAUUUUUUUAGGAUUUUCCCCCAUUUUUUAGGGUUUUUUUCCUCACAUUUUUUAGGAUUUUCCCCCAUUUUUUAGGUUUUUUUCCCCACAUUUUUUAGGAUUUUCCCCCAUUUUUUAAGGUUUUUUCCUCUCACAUUUUUUAGGAUUUUCCCCCAUUUUUUAGGUUUUUUCCCUCACAUUUUUUAGGAUUUUCCCCCAUUUUUUAGUUUUUUUCCCUCACAUUUUUUAGGAUUUUCCCCCAUUUUUUAGGUUUUUUCCCCUCACAUUUUUUAGGAUUUUCCCCCAUUUUUUAGGGUUUUUUCCCCUCACAUUUUUUAGGAUUUUCCCCCAUUUUUUAGUUUUUUUUCCUCACAUUUUUUAGGAUUUCCCCCCAUUUUUAAAGGUUUUUUUCCUCACAUUUUUUAGGAUUUUCCCCCAUUUUUUAGGUUUUUUCCCCUCACAUUUUUUAGGAUUUUCCCCCAUUUUUUAUUUUUUUUUUCCUCACAUUUUUUAGGAUUUUCCCCCAUUUUUUAGGGUUUUUUUCCUCACAUUUUUUUAGGAUUUUCCCCCAUUUUUUAAGGUUUUUUUCCCCUCACAUUUUUUAGGAUUUUUCCCCCAUUUUUUAGGGUUUUUUCCCCUCACAUUUUUUAGGAUUUUCCCCCAUUUUUUACGUUUUUUCCCCUCACAUUUUUUAGGAUUUUCCCCCAUUUUUUAGGGGUUUUUUUCCCCUCACAUUUUUUAGGAUUUUCCCUCAUUUUUUAGGUUUUUUCCCCUCACAUUUUUUAGGAUUUUCCCCCAUUUUUAAGGUUUUUUUCCUCACAUUUUUUAGGAUUUUUCCCCCAUUUUUAAGGUUUUUUUCCCUCACAUUUUUUAGGAUUUUCCUCCAUUUUUUAGGAUUUUUUCCCCUUUUUUUACUGGAGUUUUUCCCCACAUUUUUUCCUAGUUUUUCCCAUUUUUUGAGGGACCUUUUCCCUCACAUUUUUUGGGUUUUCCCCCAAUUUUUUAGGAGUUUCUUCCACAUUUUCAGGGGAUUUUCCUUGAUAUUUUUUAGGAUUUUCCCCCAUUUUUUUUUAGGAUUUUCCUCCCCAUUUUUUAGGAGUUUCCUCCAAUUUUUUAAGAGUCUCUUCCCAUUUUUUUUAGGAAUUUUCUUCUCCAUUUUUAGGAAUUUCCCCCACAUUUUUAUGAGUUUCUCCCACCAAUUUUUUACUUUUCCCCACAUUUUCUGAGUAUUUUCCUCCCAAUUUUUUAGGAUUUCCCUCCCCAAUUUUUAGGAUUUCCCCCCAUUUUUUUUUUCCCAGUCUCCCCCCUCUUUUUUUUAAGAAUUUCCUCCAUUUUUUAAGAGUCUCCCCCUCAUUUUGGGGGGGAUUUUUCUCCCCAUUUUUAGGAGUCUCCCCCACAUUUUUUAGGGUUUUUCCCCCCCCAUCUUUUCAAGUUCCCCCACUUUUUUUUUUCCGCUAUCUCCCCCAUUUAUUUUUUAAUUUUCCCCACAUUUUUAGGUUUUUGUUCCCUUUUUUUUUUUGUUUUUUUCCCCUCCUUUCCAGGAGUUUUCCCCACAUUUUUUAGGAAUUUCCCCCACAUUUUUUGGGACAUUUCCCCCCACACUUUUUAAAGAAUUUUCCAGAAGUCUCUCCCCAUUUUUUAGGAGUUUCCCCCCACAUUUUUGGGGUUUUCCCUCCUUUUUUCCACACUUUUUUUAGGAGUUUCCCCCCAUUUUUGUGGAUUUUCCUCCGCAUUUUUUUAAGAGUCCCCCCCAGUUUUUUUUCAGCAUCUCCCCUAAAUUUUUUGGAGUUUCCCCCACAUUUUUUUCCAGAGUCUCUCCCUCAUUUUUUAGGGUUUUCCCUCCACAUUUUUGGGGUUUUUCCCCCGUUUCCCCACACAUUUUUAGGGGUUUCCCUCAAUAUUUUUGGGGUUUUCUCCCCUUUUUCCCACACAUUUUUAGGGGUUUCCCCGCAAUAUUUUUGGGGUUUUCUCCCCUUUUUUCCACACAUUUUUAGGGGUUUCCCUCAAUAUUUUUGGGGUUUCUCCCCUUUUUUCCACACAUUUUUAGGGGUUUCCCUCAAUAUUUUUGGGGUUUCCCCCCUUUUUUCCACACAUUUUUAGGGGUUUCCCUCAAUAUUUUUGGGGUUUCCCUCCCUUUUUUUCCACACAUUUUUAGGGUUUUCCCCCAACAUUUUUGGGGUUUUCCCCCCUUUUUUCCCC